rnacentral:rRNA from 1 species
AUUGAACGCUGGCGGUAGGCCUAACACAUGCAAGUCGAGCGGAUGACGGGAGCUUGCUCCUUGAUCAGCGGCGGACAGGUGAGUAAUGCCUAGGAAUCUGCCUGGUAGUGGGGGACAACGUUUCGAAAGGAACGCUAAUACCGCAUACGUCCUACGGGAGAAAGCAGGGGACCUUCGGGCCUUGCGCUAUCAGAUGAGCCUAGGUCGGAUUAGCUAGUUGGUGGGGUAAUGGCUCACCAAGGCGACGAUCCGUAACUGGUCUGAGAGGAUGAUCAGUCACACUGGAACUGAGACACGGUCCAGACUCCUACGGGAGGCAGCAGUGGGGAAUAUUGGACAAUGGGCGAAAGCCUGAUCCAGCCAUGCCGCGUGUGUGAAGAAGGUCUUCGGAUUGUAAAGCACUUUAAGUUGGGAGGAAGGGCAGUAAGCUAAUACCUUGCUGUUUUGACGUUACCGACAGAAUAAGCACCGGCUAACUCUGUGCCAGCAGCCGCGGUAA